AUGCUCACACAAACAAGUUCAGGCGCACUUUUGUUCAUGAUUGUGUCUUUGGUUUUUGUAAGGGUUUAUAAAUGUAUUUGUUCUUGCUGUUUGAAGCGCCGUGUCUAUCUCCCAGUGUCUCAACACACGAUGGUUUAUUUUUCUUCAGAUCCGGAAUCUGACCCUGGCUUUCCAGGCUGCCGAGAGCAUUGGCAUCAAACCGUCCCUGGACAUCGAGGAGCUGAUGAAGACGGACAGGCCUGACUGGCAGAGCGUCAUGCUGUACGUCUCUCAGAUAUAUAAGUACUUUGAGACCUGACGGGCGGUGUGAAGAGGAUCGGAGGCGCUUGCAGCACUUCUUCUGUCAGCACUACAUUCACCUUCCAUACAGACAGGACGCUGCCCCAACCUCGACGCUUCUCCUGCCUGUGACUCAAAAACCAAAUUUUACAAAGACUGCCAUCGGGAGAGACAUCACCAGUCUGAACAUGUGCCAAAACACAACUUACAUGAGACUCAAUCAUACGAAGCUCAAUCUAUGCAUGGUUAAAGUGGAACCUUUCUGUCUUCUGAGUGUGCAGCGUGAUCGUCUCUUUCCACUGAGUGAACCUUUGGUACAUGUGGCUUCAGAGCAUCUCUCCUCACACUGAGCAGCUUAUUGUGAACGAGCCGGAGUAGUGCUUUGCAGAGCAAGAAAGUAUUUUGACAGGUUUGAACUGAAGCCCUUUAUAUUUCCCACCUUUAACUGUGUGUGUCCAUAUAGACAUAAACAAGACUAGCUGCCAUCUGUGAUGCCACACUAAAAAACAAUAUUUAACACUAAAAGAGUUGCUGAAUAGUUUUGUAGAAAUUAUUUUUUAAUGAAGAGAACAGAUUGAUGUCUAUGUUCAUCGUUUUACAGCAUUUAGGAUUUGGCUUGUAUCACACCAUCACCAUCUUUCCUGUGCCCUGCUGUGCUGUUUCUCCACGUCUUCCAUCAAAACGCUCCUCAGCAGCGCAGAGAUCGAAAAGUGGCCUAAGGUAUGUCAGUUGCUGAUCAGAGGCAUAUACCGAUCCCUGGACUGGUAUACCGAUCCUUGGACUGGUAUGCCGCUGCGAUGCCGCUGGUAUCCCACAGACACAUGCCGUUAUGUGCCGUUUGAGAAUGUCAUGCCAUUGAAAGACUGUUGGAUGGGUAUCACUAUCUGAUGAAUAUGCAAAUAUAAUGCCACUGGGAUGGUUUUACAACAAAUACUGCUGUAAACGUAUACAUUUUUUAGUCUUUUUUGACUGAACUUUGCUAACUUAACACGUUUCCGUAAAUAAAGGAAUGUAUGCAUUUACGUGGUUGGGAUGUAUGCAUGUAGACAGUAAUUACACUUAGGAUUCUUACAAUAUGUUAGUAAAGUAAUAUGUCUAAAUUUCUGCCUAUAAACUACUCAAAGCUAAUGAAAGAGCUAGCCUUAGCUAACAUGGCUAAUGUUAGCCCAGCCACGGCAGCCAGUCUGUCUAAUCGAUAACAGAAAUCUCGAGCCAACCAACCAAACAAUAGUUACUGACAGAAUUUCUUUCAUAGCAGAACAUACAUUACUUCAUGUACUUUAAUUCGACUGGAAUAAGCUGCUAAUAAAGAAAACUAUGGCCGGUCUUGACAUGUCUUGAUCAAGCCAACACUGCAUGCCUAAUACCAACACACCACUCCUCUGAUACACUGAUCCAGCGUAUAAACCUUUGGGCAUCGAUAUACCUACUGUUCCAUAGUAAAAAGCCUUCCAACAUCGGCAUAACAGUCUCAAGCGGCAUAUACAGUCAUGUGAUGGUGGAAUACCAGUGGAAUUACAUCGGCAUACCACUCCAAGGGUCAGCAUACCACUUGCAGGGAUCGGUAUACCACUCCAAGUAUUGGUAUACCAGUUAAGGGAUCAGUAUAUGCUGCUAAGCAGCAAUUGACAUACCUUUGGCCAUUUUUCAAUCUCGGCGUGAAGAACUAUGGUACUGCAGCUGCUUUGCAAAAUUUACAUUUAUAUUUGGCAUGCCAUGUUAAAUAACGGAGGAGAGGACGACUCUUACAUGUGAGAGACGAGGCACAACACUUUCUCUGUGGUAUGAUUUAGACAAGCCUCCAUUUGCAGACGUUUUGAAAGAUUAAAAAGUGUUAUUUAUUUAUUUACAUGCAUCCUUGAAAAGAAGUCAGAAUGUGGACAGAAAUGUAUGCAGUUUUCUAUUCUACGGAUGUCAGAGUCGGACUGUUGGAGUGAAAUCAAUAAAGUAUUGUCCAGUUUUAUAUUCAAUAAUUUAGUCUUGUUUCUUCAGGUUUUGACACAGAAAUGCUCUUCUUCUUCUUCUUUUUUCCAGUUAAGCUAUCAUGUGAACCCACCAGCUUCUUGGCAGGUUGCUAUAGUUGAGGUUAAACUGCCUUUCCACUGUGCCCAUUAAAGCUCUGUGCCAGGGUUGUAAAACAUUUGUGUGUGUGUGGGAACAGAGUGGAAACGCAUUUUAGCAGCCGCAGGUACCCAUGGAGAGAUAUCUAAAGACAAUAAAAUGGGUCUGAGGAGAGUUAAAUAAGGCUUGAUUUGGUGAAGGACAUCCUUUAUUGGGUCUGUACGGUAAAUACAGUGAACAUUUAUAACCUGUCUGCUUCAUCAAGAGGAGACUUUAUUGAGCAUCACAAGACAAACAGCCCAUUAAUAACAUGAAAUCAUCUCUGCUUUUAGAAAUCGUAUGUGCCUCUCCUCUCGUUAAAAAUGAUUUUCUCAUCAGCCUUAUUUCCACAUGGACUUCUCCCUCUCACGAGUUUGCGUCAGCUAGGAGCAGAAGGUAAACAAUAUCAAACAAACACCGAAUAAACGUGAGUCAGUGGAGUUUUUUUGUUUCGUUUUUUUGGGGGGGUUGCUUGGUCCUCGUCUGGGUU
rnacentral:lncRNA from 1 species